GCCAACGUCCUGGCCGCGCUGAGUGCACCCGUUCCCGUCAGAUCACGAAAAGUUAAGCACCGCCGGGCACGGAUAGUACUUGGAUGGGUGAUCGCCUGGGACUCCGUGUGGCGUUGGCG
rnacentral:rRNA from 13 species